rnacentral:misc_RNA from 1 species
GUAGGUGAACCUGCGGAAGGAUCAUUACAGAGUUCAUGCCCUUCGGGGUAGAUCUCCCACCCUUGUGUAUCAUUAUAGAAUGUUGCUUUGGCGGGCCGCGCCUAGUGUGCCUGGAUUCGCGUCCAGCGUGCCCGCCAGAGGACCCCUAAACUCUGAAUGUUAGUGUCGUCUGAGUACUAUUAAAUAGUUAAAACUUUCAACAACGGAUCUCUUGGUUCUG